UGGACCAAGAAUGAGGAUGUAUCACCAACAAGGAUUAUGAUUAAUCCAAUUUUGUGCACCUGUGGUCCAAU
rnacentral:snoRNA from 10 species